rnacentral:rRNA from 1 species
GUGAGGAAUAUUGCGCAAUGGAGGCAACUCUGACGCAGCCAUGCCGCGUGCAGGAAGAAGGCGCUACGCGUUGUAAACUGCUUUUAACCGGGAAGAAACCCCAGGACGUGUCCUGGGUUGACGGUACCGGAGGAAUAAGCACCGGCUAACUUCGUGCCAGCAGCCGCGGUAAUACGAAGGGUGCAAGCGUUAUCCGGAUUCAUUGGGUUUAAAGGGUGCGUAGGCGGAGCGCUAAGUCAGUGGUGAAAUCCUGCAGCUUAACUGUAGACUUGCCAUUGAUACUGGCGCUCUUGAGUGCGCUUGAAGUGGGCGGAAUGUGCCGUGUAGCGGUGAAAUGCUUAGAUAUGGCACAGAACACCAAUUGCGAAGGCAGCUCACUAAGGCGAUACUGACGCUGAGGCACGAAAGCGUGGGGAUCGAACAGGAUUAGAUACUCUUGUAGUCC